UGACUUUGCCGAAGGUGCCGACCCCCAGCGUGUCCCCCAGCACGUAGUGGCCGAUCUUCACCCUCCCGUCGUGCUUCUGCUGCUUCUCGGCCAUCUUCGCCCCCCGCCGGAGGACCACAAUGCGCAGGGCCGGCACGGAGCUCGUGGGGUUUGUUUGAUCUCCGCUUCCAGUCUUGGCAAGCCCUGGCCGCCUGAACGAGGCAUCACAACAAAUAGGACACGCUUUCUAGGCUUGAUGCUUCCAGGAUCCCAUUGCUCAGUGCAGACAUGGCACCAGGUGGGUGAGCCAAGAGCCCAGCGUGCAGCAGGAAUGGAGCCCUGUGCCUCAGGAACGACGUGCAUCAGAGGCUUUAGAUUUGUAACCAAGCAAUUUCCAUUUGUGUUAUGUAACUGAUGUUAUUUAUUGAGCCCCAUGCCCUGGCCAAGAGCAGAUGUCGGACUGCAGCAUUGGAAAUGAACUUUUCUGGAGGGCACAAUCUGCGAGAGCUGGCAGACCUUCUCUUGGCUUUGCCUAAUUAAAUCAGCUGGGAAAGGGCGUGCUGAUGAGGAGGAGCUUGCAUUGUGUCCUCACCAUUACUUUGGACCCUUUGGUUUGCACCGAUGAGGAUAUUCUCCUGGGACUGACUCAGGAAGAUUUCAGGAUUUGGCUACAUGGUCGAUCCACCCUUUUUUGACCUCGCUAUAAAGCGCUGUCACAAGUCUCUUCCAACUUGGGAUAUUCCAUCGUUCUAUGAUUCACAGCCUCACAGAGUCAGUCCACUAUCUCUUUGCCUUUUUGCAUUUUUGCUCUGUAUCAGACAGGGUGGAACAAUAUGUUCCCCACGUCCACAAUGGCCAGGACAAGAAUAGGGCUAAAAUUAAACCACGCACAGAUGGUAUUAAAUGAAGAAAUGCUUGAAACGAGGCUUGGUGAAGCAUCAGAAUCUGUUGUUUGGAUGGGGCUGCAGAGUGCAGAUGUUCCUGCCUGGGGCAGAGGGAUGCUUCGAGGUCAUCAAGCGGCUGCUUCACGACCCGACCAGGGCCAGAUUUGGGCUCAGCCCCUCUGGGAUGCCAGGCAAGCUGUUCAGGGCUACGUGUAAUUAUAGGCAGAGAUGGAGGUGAGCUGAAAAAAUCCCAGUUCAAACUUCUCACUCAGCUGCUGCCAAGUCCUAAUGUUUAGGUGGCUUUUGCUUUAUUUUUGUUACUUUUAAGCUCCCCGGCUGGGAAUCUGCCAGAAUUCAGACCUCUGGUUUUAACCCAAGCAGCCCCAUUUUUACCAGCCCUGAGCUGUGGGAUGACACAGCCCAGAGCAGCCCAAGCUUUAGGGGCAUGGUUUUGUGGGCAGUAUUGGUGGUAGAUGGACGACUGGACUAGGUGAUCUUAGUGGUCUUUUCCAACCUUAAUGAUUCUAUGGUUCUAAGUGUGGGUCCUCCUCUGUGCCUCAGUGCUACAGCAUCUUUGGCAUCUCCUGGUACCUGCAGCCUGGGAUGGAGCUUUGUUGAGGGAACUGAGUUCUAGUUCCCUUUUAUUUCCAGUCAUGGCUAGGCAUCUUCUUCAAUUGUAAUGCAAAUCUAGAUCACUUUUUUGGAUGGAGCCAUAAAUCUUUGCGCUUCAGUUCCCCAUCCUCACAGCUCCUUCCUUUUACCAGCCAAUCUCUGUAAGGGUAUUUCAGCCUGGAAACUCUCCCACCUGCUCUGCAGCAUAGGUAUAUCUUGAAGGCCAUGACACAUAGUGGCAGGCUGCUGGCAUGGCGGGUUGGCUGCCCCUCAGAGAGGUUUGUCCCUGCUGUUGUCUGUACACCGCAGCACAUAGCACUGUUUGUGUGUGUGUUUAAUGCGCACGUUGUUUCCCAUAAAUGCCUCUUUCUGGGGCCGGCGCUCCCGGAGAAUCGCUCUCACCUUCUCUCACCUCGGUGGCCAACUGAGAAAGGUCUCCUUCACUCAGCUGGGGGAGAGGGGGAGGAUUUAUGAAUUGGAGAGAUGCAUUCCUGAUGUGGAAUAGGCACAUUCUGCGUUUCCAGCCCCCCCUGCUCUGUAAAAGCACCAUUUGUGUGGCAAAUAGCCAAGGGUUUUAUGAAUACGGCUCUUGCUUUCUCCAGCUGCUAGAAACCUUUCUCGAAUAUGAAUUAAAAUAAAAGCCUCACUAGACACUUUUAGCACUCAUAAUUCUGCUAUUUCUGGUCUGUGGCAUGGAGUUCUUGCAUCCGAAAUCAUAGCUGGAGAGGCUUGAGUGGCUUCUUUCAAAUAUUAUUAAAGAGAAGAAAACCCAAAAGAUGGAUGACUUCAAUCUACAAGGACCUCGAUGUGAUUGUGUACCCAGAUUUGACAUUUCCCUAGUUAUUAUGGCAGUGAAAUCCCAUCUCUGCAAUCUUUAUAUAGACUUACCCUUCAGAUACCACUGAGGGCUGUUCUUAGGGAAUCGGUACGCUCCAGAUUUGGUGCUCUAAUAAAUCAACUAGCAGGGAGAAGACAAGAUCAGGACCGCAAUCCAUGCACAGGAAUAUCUUAGAGGUUUUAGGAAAGCAUUUUUCAUUGCAUCACAGGAGUAAGAGAAAGAGGAAACCAUGGUAACAGCCGUGGGCUGCUGGAGCUGGGAGUUUGCAGUUUGCAGAGAGGAGAGGGACACGCGGUGGCAAUUUGUCACCAGGCAAGCAUGGGACAGGGGGAUGCUCUUGGUGGGUGUGCUCAGAGCACUGUAGAGGAAAGCGGUGUUUUUUGAGGGGGAAGGAUUUGGACUGCUUGCAAUCGGUGAUUAUGUGCAAGCAUCUGCCCUGUGUGCAGGAAUUUUGGGUGCUUCCCUGCCAAGCAGGAUUUUUGCCUUGCAGGCAGCCAGCAGUGAGAGGAAAAAAUCUGGAGAAAUGCAAAAUCUCACCCACUGGGACUGUGAAGGUGAAUCAUGAAAAUGGGGGUGGGAAUCUCGUUAUAUGUAGGUUGUGGUGUCAUUAAGGCAGAGUGGAUGCAAGUUACAUGCAUUCACUAAACAGCCUCUCAUAUCUUCCUAGUCUUAUGCAUGACAAGGACAGGUGAAACAGCAACUCUGCCUUAUAAAUGUGUAUGACGUGGCAACAGGAUGGCUUGAUUUCUUUGCAGAAGCAGUAGAGAUUAUUCUGAAUCCCAGCCAGAUCAGAAAUAAAUAAAACAACCUCCUAGAGACCACAAACUAUCUGAAGGGCUUUUGACACCUUCGCAUCUUAAUCUGUCCUUACAAAUUCGGACUGUUGCUGGCUGGUAGGAAAAAAGUGGGAAUUUCCCUCAUCAUCCCAUUUUUGCACAUCACUGUUUUUCCGGUGGGUUCAUCUGAGAUGAAAAGUUCAGUGUCGGCAGUGGUUGUGCUGAGGCUCCCACAGACGGAUGCUCAUAGGUAAUUAAUUACAGGGCACUCGGGCACUUUUAUUCUGUGAGAUGGAGGCUUGUCUGAGGCUUCGGCAGCAUUGUUCAUGUAGGUCACCAAGCUUAACAAGGCAGCCAUGAACUGCUGCACUCAUUUGGGGAAAGGACGUAAUUAUCUAGAGGUUUUGAUGGGAAAUAAUUGCUAAAGGCUUUGGUACGUGAACAAGUUGCCAUUGUGAAAGAAGUUAUCAGCCAUCGACUGCUCCACAGGAGCUCCGAGUGCCCAGGCUUACCCUGGUGCAGAUGGACAGUGAGCUGCCUUGGGUUAUCUUGCUCUCAUGAAAGUGUAAGACCUUUUACAUGGGCAAGUAACUGUAGAUCUGCCAAAGCAGGGUAACAUUUUACAGCCCAGCAACGCGACUGUGUGCCAAAGCCCUAUAAGCAGGUUAAGGGCAUGUAAGUUCUCCAAAUUACAGCACCCGUAACUCCUACUCCUCUUCAACCUGUGUGUCUUGCUGCUGUGUAAAAAGUCUUAAUGAAUUUAGAGCCUCACCAAAGGGGCAUUACUCAUAUUUUGCUGAUCAGAAGAUAAACCCCAAAUAACACAUAAUGAAGCGUGUUUUCCCUGAUUCCCAGGCUUCUGAGCUAAACUCCAGCCAAUGCUUUCUUUAAUAACUCAGCAGCGUAUAGGGAAAAUAAACCUGAAUCUGGCCAUCCAUGUUAAAAACAAACAAACCCCAAACCUCUUUCAUGAGAAAUAACAACCUUUUGGCUAUAUUUUUUGUGUCUAAGUAACCACCUCAUAACACGCAAAUGAUCGCUAGACAUAUCCAGCAACAUUACUGUAUAGCAAAGAUAUUACUGAAUUGCUUAGGGUGUAUUGCAUGUUAGUGCAUCAAUAUAAUUGUACAGUCUGUUUGGCAAGACUGCUUUUAUAAGCAGGAAUAUAUAAUUUUACAAAUGUCUUCUUGCAAGUUUGUGAAUUAGUGUAGUUUUCCAGCUUGUACCAAUGCUGAAAGCAGUAGGUUCUUUUUCUCCAUGAAUUUCAACGUAAGCUACAUCAAGAACUUAUGAUGUCUCAAUGAGUGACAAGGUUUAGUGGUAUGGUGGAGAUGGAUCAGUGGUUGGACUGGAUGAUCUUAGUGGUCUUUCCAGCCUUAAUGAUUCUAUGAUUCAUCCUACAGUAGUGUUUUUGUCCCAUUCUAAUGCAUUGUCUAAUGAACAACUUUCACAGCUGGCUUUCCCAUCAGUUUUUCCCUCUGGUGCCUAGAGAUUAGAUCUCCUAGUCUGUUUUUAUCAUUUCUGUGGAUCAUCCACACUGUUUCAGCCCCCUGUGCUCUGUUGAGAAGCACGUCCAAUCUGAGGAUGCCCUCUCAAACGUGAGCCUUGGGGCUUCAUGGCCGUGGGAGCCACACUUGCAUCCUUCCAGAAAUCUUUGGAGAUCUGCUCCAAGAUGAGAACAUUAGUUUUUCACAAGCCACCCGAGUAGAAAUCAAAAUAUCUUGGCUAAGUAUGCUGGGCCAGGAGGAAAAAUGUGGGAUACACAGAUGGAGGUGGAAUCUCAUGAAUUUCCCAAUUACAACACGAUGUAUCACUGUGACCCAGCAACUGCUGUGGCAAAGCUGCAACAGCAACAAAAUGGGGUCUCAUAUGUCUCUGCUGGUCAUAGCUGGUCUGGGAUGGAGCAUCUGAGAAGUGGGAAACAGCAUCUGCAUUUGGGUCUUGUGAGCCAGCGUGUGGAAACGGAGCCCCACUAUGCUGCAAGACCAUCUGAGCCGCACAUGUUCAGCGAAGGCACUUCCAUUUGGCUGUUAUCUCAGAAUGGGGGAAAUGUGGAAGAUAAAUCUGAAGGUUUUUCCAGACAAAGGGAACUUAUCGAGUAAUAUUGAAACAGCCGGCUCGGAGCCAAGCUAGGAUUUGGCCCUUAUUUUGAGCUGAGUAGAUAGAAACUGUGGCCAAGGAUCAGCUGGAAAACCACUUAACCUUUUUUGAGAUUGAGCAGCAGCUUUUGCUGAGAAAGUCUCGUUUGAAAUACAGACUUGAGAGGAAUGGAGAGCAAUGAUUGGUACGAUGAUUGACAGCAUGUCAUGUAGGACAACCUACAAACACACCUCCUGAAGGGUAUGCCAUGUAUGAGCAUGUACUCUGAUGAGGUGCAGCUAGAAAAUGUGAGAGGUUAUAAAGGAAAAAAUGCGGCUUCUGUUCUUUCUCAUCUCUUUUGCUGUACCUUUCCUUUACCCUGCUUGUCUCAAAUCCUGCUUUAGGCCCAAGGUUUGCUAGGGCCGGUGAAGGCAGAGGGAUUAGUUCAACAGAAUUCAUGCAUCCUAAUGCUAAGGACCUUUAUUUAUUGAGUUUCUCCCUGUUGCAUCACAGUUCUCUGACCUACAGCUCAUGCUCUCUUAUCCUUCAUUUGACCAUAUUUUUUAUCAGUCCUUAUUCUUCAGGAAUGCUUCCAGACAGUUGGGCCAUCACACUUUUCCUCAUUCUCGUGCGUAAAGGCACGAGAAGCAGACAGCUUCGCUGCUGAGCUAGGAUGUCUUUGUUGGAUCUUUCACGAUACGUAUGUCUAUGAUGAUUUCUAGAUUAAUUAAGAAGCAGCAUUCAUUUCAAUUGUAUUCUCCCUGUAUGUGAUGGGUGUAGCUUUUCCUCCUUUCUAAGUUGACCUGAGCUAGAUAGGAUCAGGGUGUCACUGUCUAAUGGCUACUUUAGCAAUUUAAGGCAAGGUGUAGCUAUUGCAAAUACGAUUCCCUUCCGGUGGUUGAAGUAAGCAGGUUUGUUGUACUGUGCCUAAGGGCAAGAACUAAAAAGUAGAUCUUCUCCUGCUCAGCUGUGCAGCAGGACUAGGGAUGGACAGAUUCUUAUACUGAACUGCAUACGUAUUUUUCUUGUCUCAUGGAGUAGCUGUGGUAUCCAGGUAGGCUUUGGAUUUCUCUUUCUUUGGUCAGCAGUAGCCAGCACCUUAAAUAGGGUCACGAUGAAGGAUGCUUUUGGAUCUCCAUGUGAAGUACAGGCAAUUUUUAUUCUUAAGGCAGUCCUGGUGCUUCCUUGCCCCUAGUGAACAGUUUUAUUUUGUAGCACCCUUAGCUGAAAGAAGUCCUGAGUCCUUGCUGCUUAUUCUCCAUUUGGAUUGCAAUGCUAGCUUUCCUGUUUUUACAGAGGAUAAGGUUGGUGAUUGUAGGUUUGCUAUGGGGCUGUUAUGGCAUUGCUGACAAAAACUCCACAUGAAUUAAUUUUCAGCCAAAUCCUCAAAUCUCAUUCUACUCCAGCUGUGAUGCAGAGGUCUUUGGCUGCCUUUAUCAGGCAGUGUCUGUUAGGUCAGCUUUCCAAAACAAAACCCUACCGAAACAGAACACAUUGCAAAGACCAUUUCCAAUGGCAAAAGUGACACUCAUCACUUAUGUGUGAUUGGAAGGCAUUACAGUAUUAAAGAUAUGCAAAUCUGUGCGACUUAUACUUAGGAAUCCGCAAUACUUCCCAGUUAUUUCUAACUGAUGUAUCAUCUAAUACACAUCUCUCCCCAUAAAAUGCAGAGUAGCUCAAAGAAUAGAGCUCCUUAAGUCUUUAUUUGUGCAGUGUUUUAUCAACCCUUGGAGUUGAGAACUCCAAAUUUUGAGUCAACAGUUUGAGAUAAGGACUUAGAAAAACUUAAGCAUCUCUCUAAAAGAAACUGGAGCUGCAAACCUCUGUCAGGUUGCCUUUUCUAUCCUGUAUGGAGCGUGCACACUUUUUAAAACAGCACUUCUCUUUGCGUAGCACCAAACAGUGGGAUUCUGAGCCAUUGCUUGGGAUCCCUAAGCACUAUGCACAGCAGUUGGUUAAUAAGAGUGCAAACAUUGUUUUCUGACAUUGUAAUGCUACUAUUACUUCACAUAGUUUGCUAAUAUUCUUUAAUCUCUCCUUACGAUUGUCCCCUUCUGCAUUUUCAAUUAUCAACGUUUUUAAAAGAAGGAAAGUUGAAGUAUGGAAGAUUAGAUAAGGAAACAUUCAACAUCAGGAAGCUCUUUGCUCAGAGGGAGGGCUUUGAACGGGACUGUUGUAUUGAUUUGUUACACCAGAGCCUGUGUUUUAUCAGCAACACAUAAAUCAAAUUGUACCAUGCACAACAAUGCGCAUACAGUUUUUAAUAGAGAAAGGGAACCCGUUCACUGAAGUGCUUCUGCUUGCUGGUUGACAUGAGAGAAUGAAGAGUGAGUCUUUUUUUUUUUUUUUUUGUAAACGGAGAAUGAUGGAGUAGGUCUAUGAGAAAAAAGACUGAGCUCAUUUCAAAUCCAAGGGAAGCUGCUCUGCUCCCGACUCCCGGUGAUUCAUGAGCUGUCAUGCAUUACAGAUGGAUCCAGCCCGCUCUGACAAAACCCAUGACCUGAGCACUUCUAAAAACCAUGGCACCCCGGGCAGGGUCGUGCAUGCAGGACCGGGAGGGAAAGCAGGAAUGCAGCUCUGGCAAGGGACAGCCCAUCAAGCUGCCGUGUAGCGGUGGCAGUGAAAUGUCUCAGGAGGAAACAGAAGGACUGUGAGCUGUGAUGGUCCUUCCUGUUUGAGAUUUCAUUUUGUCCUAAAACAACACCUCAUCAAUUUAAGCCAAGCUUUACUAUGUCAGGUCAAAGCCAACGUAAAAUCGUAGUACCUUUUUGUAUAGGUUUACCUUAUGCUAAUCUCUGGCAGUUGUCCCGAGUGGAGGAUGCCUAGUUGCUUGUGUGUUGGAUGACACUGGACAAUGUCUGCCAGCAUCUCCAGCUGUGCAGGAGCUCUGUUUUCCCCCCACUUUAUAUCCAGACAUGUUUUGGGCCCCCCAUAUCUCCUCUCUGACCUGCAGAAUAGUAGUGUUGAAGCAGGGGAAGCAAGGGUGUAAAUGGGACUACUUGCAGUUUGUUGAAGAAACCAAGCAGAGUAUAAAUGAGAUAUCUACCAAAGCUUCAGGCUUGGCAUUGCUCAGGGAGCCCAACACAAAUCUUCCUCCUCCAUGGGGACGAUGUGCAGACCCCUGCCCUGCAUCCUGCUGGCUUGGUUUGCCCUCCAGCUCCCCCUCCAACUCUCAGGCUGGGGUCGUUGCAGUUAUUUCACAGGCAGCACCAUUGAACAGGGCUUAAAUACACAGCAAGGAUGGCCUGCUAAGAUCAGCUCUUCCCAUAUUAAAUUAAAUUAAAUUUGGAUGGGUAGGAAGGAGAGCAAAUUUGAGCCUAGUUUGUCUUUUCUGUGAAAUAGUUAAUAUGGCACCGUGCCCAGGCAAAUUCAGCUUGCUUUGUGCCGUAAUGCUGCUCUGCAGCUCUCAAACCAGACCUGACUUGUACCCUGCCUGAGCCUGGCAAGCAGACAUGCCCUAAGGAUGUGUCUACACUGUAGGACAGAGUUGAGACCUGGACUUGGUGAGGCAGACCUGAGCUCUUGGCCAGAAGAGGUGUGAUGUGGGGUGGGUGUCCCUGGCUCUGGGACGGGCUGAGGAGAAGGAAGAGGGAGGUGUCCAGCCUCAGGAAGUCUUGUGAUGCAUUUGAGGAUUGAGGUUGGGUGGUGGAAGGGCUUUAUGGGCUGGCACAUGCUGUGCUCACCAGUGGGAUGCUCGUCCCAUGGAGAUCUUGCAGGAAGUCAUGGCCAGCUUCGUAUGUGUGAGGGCAUAUAGCUAGAAAACAAUAGAAACAGUAGAAAAAGGUAGAACUUGCUUCUAGUGAGAAGAAUACAAAGAAGUUGUCUGAAAGAAGUUGCAAUACAUACAAAAUUCCUUUCUUCUUCCUUCUUUCUUCAUUCCUUAUCUUCUGGUUGCAAGUCAUUUUUCUGCUUUUCAAGGACCAGGAUUUUCUGUGCUUGCUUUGUCUCUAACCUACCCCCUCUCAUAUUCCACAAAGAAAGUACUUCUGUUCGAAUUCACCACAUUGGCUUGGGGAAACAGAGCUGAACUUUCCCUCAAAACCAGGAGGAGAGCCCUGCACAGGACCCAUGCUGCCCACUGAAGGAGUGGCUGUAUUCCUAUGAGACACUUUGGUUUGCCUUAGAGUUAAGUGAGAGAAACAGGCACUUCCCACCCUGUGGAAGCCUUCCCUUAUACAGCUGAUAAAUGAUUUCCUUGAAGUGCCAGUCUUUGAACUGAUUAGAAACAGAUUUCAGUUUGUUCCAGCAGAUGUUACUCUCCAAAGGAACCCCACGGCCUUCUGUUUGGUUAUUCCACUGUCAACCAAAAUCAUGGAUGAAGAUCUUUUCCAACCUGAAUGAUUCCAUAAUUCUAUUUAGAGAUGGGACACUGGUAAGUCAAAUUGACAGCUUCACUUGAUGAUCUUGAAAGUCUUUUCCAACCUAGAUGACCCCACGAUUUCCACUCUGCCAUCCCACAGAGGUUUUUUCUCUGAGCUGAGCAGUGGGCCAUAGGACAGGAAAUGAUGGCAAGGAGAUGGAGAGCGAAGGCACUGUGCCCAAGUCAAGGUGCAUGGAAGCCCCAGUGGCUGUGUUUGCUCACAGCCCGUUUUUCCAUGAAUGCUGCCAGCCCCCAGGGUGCUUGAACACCACGUGCUGCUUGCACUGCUGCCUUUUCAUCUGCCACCUCUUGGUGUCCCCUGAGGUGUGCAGGCUGGGGAUAGCUGCAGGUGACUGCAAGUGCUGCUGGAAAACAACCCCUCGUGAGGGAAUUCACUCUUGCUUCAUAUUUUUAUUUAUCUUUAUGGUGUGAAUACAGCUCUGAGGAUGCAGGAGAGCUUUGCUGAUGUUCCGUCAGAGUCUGAAAUAGUUUUCUUCCCCAGAUAUAUGUACCUAGAAGAAAUAGCUUCACCCAAGCACUGGGUAAGGCUGAAUUACUACAGACUCCUGUUUGUGUGCCUGUUCCUUUUACCUACAAUUAUGGCGAAAUUGCCAUCGUGUAAGCAGCGGGCUGUAUGAAUAGCUUUAUUAUUUAUUAUUGUUAGACCUAGAUGUGUGUUUUUCUUUAGAUCGUAUCUGCACGAGAAGGCACAGUAAUAAUAGUCUUUCGGCUGCCAGAGCACUAGCAAGGUUUAAUUUCUGAAGACCAUGAAGCUUCUGAAGCACGGUGCUGUUUAUUGCUUUCUUUGUCCAAUCAGUCACAGUGGAGAGGGCUCUGCUUUUUCCAGCUGAGUUCUUGCCAGGGUGGACACUUGUGUUGUGUUUGCGCUCCCUGGCUGGCAUCAGCAGAAGGGUCUCUUGUUACAGCCCAGUGCCAGGCUAUUUUAAGGAGCAGGAUUCCCCUUUUAUGGAAUUAUUUUUCCUAUGAGUUUAACUCCCAUGCUCAUCGGCACUCUUUUCUGUUUCAUUCUGUUCUACCUUCGUAUGGGACGUGAAAGCAAAUUAGGGAUAGCUGUAUGAUAGCUGUCUGAGUGUUGGAAACACAGCCAGAAAUGGAUCAAGAAGGAGGAAAAGAUCAUGCCUUCUCUCCAAGGUCCUCUAUCCAGAGCUGAGGGGAUUGGCUUCUUUCGCUGCUGGAUCUCAGUAUUUCGAAACAAUCCCAGAGUUUUGAAAGAGAAGGGUUUUGACAUUUACUGUUUGGUGUUGGCAGGGCUGGAUAAAGGAGAUAAAGUGGCCUGUGACAGAGCACACAAGCUAUCUGUGAUCUGUUGUGCAACGACCGUCAGUGAAUCUGCGUCUUUGUGUGUUUAAAGUGUAUUUCCUGACAUUUACUAGCAAUUUUAAAGGGAUUUACCCUUCGCUGUUUCAUAAUCUCUGGUUCAGAGUAAAUUUGCAGAUUUCAAAGAUCAGAAGAGACCGUUAAUGCCAUAGUCUGGGUCUCUGGAUAGCUCAUCCACCUAACUUCAUCCUCUUCUGUACUGAGCCCAAUACUUUGUGUUUAGCUACUGCAUAUCUUUCAGAAAGGCAUUCAGGCAUGAUAUGAAAGCAGAAAGAUCAACCACUAACCCAACAGUUUGUUCCAACACGCGAUCAUUAUCACUAUUUAAAAUAAAAUGGGUAAUUUACUCCUCAUUUUUCUUUGUGUGCCUUUGGCUAGAAGACUUAUGCCCAAAUAUUCAUAUAAAAGCAAAUAUUUCCUUAGCUCUUCCAAAAUAAAGCAAAAGAUGGAGUAGAUAUAUAUUGCAGUGAAUCUGCAUGGCUUUACAGAGAAAACAGAACAGCAUCCCUUAGUGGUUUAAUGCUGUGGUCUGCAGGCAGCCUGCAUGCCUUUAUACAGUCAUUUGGGCUGCAUUAAGGUCCGCAUCAUACCUUGAUCAUCAUUUCUUCUAGUGCUGUUUCUUUUUUUUGUAUGCAUUUCCUCUUAACAGGCUGCCCAGAGAGGUGGUAGACUCAGCAUUCCUGGAGGUGUCCAAGAACCGUGGGGCUGUGGCACUGAGGGACAUGGUGGAUGCUGAGUGCUUUCAAGCGGGUUAUUUAGAGUUUGUGACCAGAAAUCAAUCCAGAAUGAAAAAAAUUGUAGAUCUACCUGUUUACAUCAUAAACCACAAACACAUUUGCAUCCUGCAACAAACACCUGGGCAGCAUCCAGAGGAGACAUUACCAACGUGUUAACUACUGCGAGGUAACCGGUGCACAGUUCAGGGCUGCAAUCUGGAGUGGAGACCUUUCCUUCGAGACUGCUGCUCAUAACGGGGCUUUCAUUGAGAUCCUGACCCCGAAGCGUCAUUAAAACAUGGCACAUUCUUGACUUUCAAACCAACUGCUGGGAGGCGGCCAGCACGGAGCACAGAGCGGGGUUUUAGAGGGGCUGGAGCUGCGCAGCAAUGUGCCACCCCUUUCAUUAGCUGCUGCUGACUGUGAAAAUGCCUUCCCGGAUUGAAAUUGCACAUAAAGGUGAAUUAUACAGGCAGCUCUUUAAGGCUUUGCUAAUAAACACAUGAAAGGAUUGGAGGGAAAUAUGUGAAAAUACCGUUACACUGAACUCCCUUUGAAUGCCACCAGCUGGGGAGAAUGAGUAUCACUCAGGACUGGGUUCUUCUCGCAAUUAACGCGUGCAUUCCGUAAUUAAGCGCUGCUUUGAUUUCGCCGCCCAGGAUGGCUCAGCGCUGGAAUCCUGUAACCACAGCACAUCAGGAGGCAGCAAGAUGAUGGGAACGCCAUUAAAUUAAGGAGAAACACCAGGAUUGUGAAACUUGGUGGUAGGACAAGAGCUGGUUGCGACACAGGCUGGGCUUUAGGUUUGUUGGCAAAUCGAAUGCAUCUGAUGCUGGUGAUUGGGAUGCCAGGAACAGUUCCCUGACCAGUGAUCUACCCCAGGGGUCACCAGGGUACGUUCUUGAGGGCUGACCCUCCUGGCCUGCACAAAUCUGCAUGUCCAAUUUCCCGAAUGGCAGAAAAUUCUACAUUAAGAUGACAUUUAUCAGCUAAUCUUCAAAACAAUUCAACUGGAUAUUUAUGAGGCUUAGCAUCACAGUAUCAUAGAAUCAUUAAGGUUGGAAAAGACCACCAAGACCAGCAAGUCAACCCAGCCCCAGCGUGCCCACUAACCACGUCCCUCAGUGCCACAAUCUUUGUACUUAACCUUCUCGGUGGCACCAGGGAGGGCAGAAUUAGACUCCUUUUGGAUCCCACUUGUAUCUACCUCCCUCACUGCAAGGACAGACCCAAGCCCAACCCUGGCAAACAUUUCCUAACUGGGCAGCCACCACCGUGCAGGUUGGAUGAUGAGGUAGCAGUGGGUGCAAGGAAACCCUAAAACCCACAGAGGCAAGCUGGCAAUGCCCCACGUCCCUCCCUGCUGCUCAGCCCCUCUGCUGGUGUUCUGUAGGAGAGCAGCAGCUGAUGGUGCUAAAAAUACCCUUGGGCAGGGUAGCAGUGGUUCAGCUCCGGGCUUCUCAGAAGAGUGCUGGUAUUUCGGCCUCGUGACUCCAGCUCAGGCCACCUGAUGAGCAGCACGCAACUUUGCUCUGAUUUCCCCAUUUGGUAGGGAACAAUCUCAAUAAUGGAUGGGUAAGUCAGCAAACAGCACAGUUCGCUUUCUUAUUUUAGGUUUCCCAUGGACAUGGUCACGAAUGGCUCUGAAAUAUAGGCAGCACCUGGUCCUUCCCUGCUGCCACAUUGUCCCCUUGAUGGAAAAGCAAAGGAGAUACCUAUAUAAAACCCCUCUCUAGGUCCGAGGAGGCAGCAAAGUGUGACCUUUUGACCCGAAUCACGACGAGUAGCUAUGAGGAAGAGCUGCUCCCACUUCUAAAUUAUUGCUAUGCAAUGAGCAGAUUUCCAGGAGGCGGCUGAAGUCACAUCCUGAAGAUCCAAGGGAUAAAAGCAUCCCAUUCCUGCCCUAUUUUCUACUACAAGACUGGUUCUCAAGGAGCUUAUUCUCUUAGAAUGACCAGACUGAAUGAAUAGAACAUGAUUUCUGUUUUAAUAUUGUUGGGUUGUGAAACAUUACAGUAGAGGUGCAAAUGUGGGCAAGAACGAGUUUUACUGCAGAUGAUUUAUCUUCUGAUAGACUGUCCCAGUGCUGCACUCUUCAUUUAUUGGGGGUCUGGUCCAGCUCAGACUGGAAGAUGGUGAAGAUGUUGGGAGAUCUCCACUAAUGUGGGGCAAAAAUCACUGAUAAAUGAAAUGUGAUUGGUUCGGUUAAUCUGUAUAAAGAAAAAAAAUGCAGUCCAUAGUGGGAAAGUAGUGUAGGACUGAGAGGAAAAACUGAGCCCUAAAAGGGAGGCUGGUGCAUGGUGCAUUUGAUAAUUGCAUUUAUGAAUAAACAAUUAAGUAUUACCAAUGAAUCUCUUGCAUUUUAUUGACCCAGGCACAGAAGCUGCUUUUUGGUGCUGAUGACUUGCUCAGCUCAUGUUUGACAAUGGGGAAUUGUAGUGGCUGUUCCCUUAAGAAAUCAUCCAAGAUUGGGACUUAUUCGUGCGCCGUUGCUUGCAUC